rnacentral:rRNA from 1 species
AUUGAACGCUGGCGGCAGGCCUAACACAUGCAAGUCGAGCGGAUGAAGGGAGCUUGCUCCUGGAUUCAGCGGCGGACGGGUGAGUAAUGCCUAGGAAUCUGCCUGGUAGUGGGGGAUAACGUCCGGAAACGGGCGCUAAUACCGCAUACGUCCUGAGGGAGAAAGUGGGGGAUCUUCGGACCUUACGCUAUCAGAUGAGCCUAGGUCGGAUUAGCUAGUUGGUGGGGUAAAGGCCUACCAAGGCGACGAUCCGUAACUGGUCUGAGAGGAUGAUCAGUCACACUGGAACGGAGACACGGUCCAGACUCCUGCGAGAGGCAGCAGUGGGGAAUGUUGGACAGUGGGCGAGAGCAUGAUCCAGCCAUGCCGCGUGUGUGAAGGAGGUCUUCGGAUUGUGAAGCACUUUUAGUUGGGGGAAAGGGCAGUAAGUUAAUACCUUGCUGUUUUGACGUUACCAACAGAAUAAGCACCGGCUAACUUCGUG